rnacentral:rRNA from 1 species
AUUGAACGCUGGCGGCGUGCCUAACACAUGCAAGUCGUGCGUGAAAGGGCUUCGGCCUGAGUAAAGCGGCGCACGGGUGAGUAACGCGUGGAUGAUCUGCCCAUGAGUUGGGAAUAACGGCUGGAAACGGUCGCUAAUACCGAAUACGCUCCGAUUUCACAGUUCGGGGGAAAGGUGGCCUCUGCUUGCAAGCUACCGCUCAUGGAUGAGUCCGCGUCCCAUUAGCUAGUUGGCGGGGUAAUGGCCCACCAAGGCGACGAUGGGUAGCCGACCUGAGAGGGUGAUCGGCCACACUGGGACUGGAACACGGCCCAGACUCCUACGGGAGGCAGCAGUGGGGAAUAUUGCGCAAUGGGCGAAAGCCUGACGCAGCGACGCCGCGUGAGGGAUGAAGG